UCUUGAAGUAUCGGACAUUGUUGAUCUCCGGGAGUGGGCGGCUGAGGAACUGAACAAGAAGAAGCUUCUUAAUUCGGGGCUCAAACAUUUGGGGAGGAAAAUUGCGGGAAUAGAGAUUGAGAAGCCCAAGAGUGUGACAACCAGUGAUUGGGAUGAGCGCUGGCUUAGCCGUGAACAGAUAUGUUAUGCUUGCCUUGAUGCAUAUAUUUCUUUUGAAGUUGGGAGGGUCUUAAGUGCUUGGUACUAGAAGAGUGGACACAAGUAAAUAUGUAAGUAAAAUAUACCAG
rnacentral:misc_RNA from 1 species